AUGAUUUAAGCAUAACAUUAACAGUAAAUGACUGCUGUCAUUGAAAUGAUGCUACUUUGUCUUCUAACGGUGAGACAGCAGCUAUAGCAUUAAGUGAAUGCUAUGAUAGCAAUGAAUAAUGAAAGCUAUGCCCAAGGAGAACAAUUAAACAUUUUUAACAAAAUCUUUCAUAUCUCUCCUCAGGAUCAUUGCUUAAAUUUCUAACAAAACAGACGGAUAAAGUGCCCCUACCAAAUGCUGAUGAAAACCUUCCAGCAACAUCCACAUCCAGUGGGAUAGUGGCCACUCAACCUGUUGGUUGUCAUGAAGAGCAGGAAGAGACACCAGAGGCACAUCGAGCACCCAUUCCAAGUUAUGAUACUGAUGACUUUCCAGCAACAUCCACCUGCAGUGGGAUAGUGGCCACUCACCUGUUGGUUGUCGUGAUGAGCAGGAA